AUUGAACGCUGGCGGCAGGCUUAACACAUGCAAGUCGAGCGGGGAAAGGUAGCUUGCUACCUGACCUAGCGGCGGACGGGUGAGUAAUGCUUAGGAAUCUGCCUAUUAGUGGGGGACAACAUUCCGAAAGGAAUGCUAAUACCGCAUACGCCCUACGGGGGAAAGCAGGGGAUCUUCGGACCUUGCGCUAAUAGAUGAGCCUAAGUCAGAUUAGCUAGUUGGUGGGGUAAAGGCCUACCAAGGCGACGAUCUGUAGCGGGUCUGAGAGGAUGAUCCGCCACACUGGGACUGAGACACGGCCCAGACUCCUACGGGAGGCAGCAGUGGGGAAUAUUGGACAAUGGGCGAAAGCCUGAUCCAGCCAUGCCGCGUGUGUGAAGAAGGCCUUUUGGUUGUAAAGCACUUUAAGCGAGGAGGAGGCUACUUGGAUUAAUACUCUAGGAUAGUGGACGUUACUCGCAGAAUAAGCACCGGCUAACUCUGUGCCAGCCGCCGCAGUAAGAC
rnacentral:rRNA from 1 species